GGCCAGGUUGGAUGGGGCUUGGAGCAACCUGGGAUAGUGGAAGGUGUCCCUGCCCAUGGUGGGAAGGGGAAGGGGUGGAACUGGAUGGUCUUUGAAAUAGUGAGACCAUGGUUAUGGAGCUGUGCAGUCCCAACUGCAUCUCCUCCUUAGCAAGAAACUAAUGUGCAAGGACCUGUUUUAAUUCUGCUCUUCCCUAAUGCUCCUGUUGAGGAAACUUCUUAUGCCUUUAGUUAAGACAGAAAUACUCCUGGAGAGUUCUGGAAAAAGAAAAUAUUUCACAGAACUGAUACACCAUUGAAAUCCUCAUCUUUUUUAAAGUUCACUGAGAAGCUCCUGGUUUAGAGUCCCCACCUCAGCAGUUGCACCUUCAAGAGAGAUCCUGAGCUGCAGGUUCAGCACAAGCAACUAAAGGAUCAUUCACUCACCAGCCCACAAACUUUAAGCGAAGGCUCUUGCUCACUGUGGGGUAAAAAGCAUUCAAGUUCCACAAAGGCAGCUCUGCCACCUCCUCCACACCAUCCCCACUUUGGAUGGAGAGCUCUUGGUACAGGGUGAGCUGAGAGCCAGAGUCCUGGAAAACUGAGUAACUUGACCCUGGGAUGGUGGGCCCAGGAAUGGGGAUGGUGAGCUCAGGAAUAAGAGGCUGAGAGAGUUUUAUACCAAGAUGCUAUUUACUUUGAACAGUCAUAUUCAGUAUAACAUGUCUAAUCAAUCCACAUGGAUACACCUACAACAGGUAAUUAAAAAAAAUAAUAAAUGAAGACACUAAUAAAUUAAGUACAUUUAACUUA